GAUGCAAGAAAUGCAGGUUUGACCCCUGGGUUGGGAAGAUCCCCUGGAGAAGGAAACAGCAACCCACUCCAGUAUUCUUGCCUGGGAAAUCCCAUGGACAAGAGGAGCCGAGCGGACUACAGUCCAUAGGAUCGCACAGAGUCGGACACAACUGAAGCAACUUAGCAUGCACCUGGAGAAAGCAUCAAAUUUUAGAAGUUUCCCCAAAGGAAUGUGUCUUGCUUCUUACUGACAUUUGGGGUGCCCCUCCUGGGAUGUCACCAGUUCCAGCCCUGCCUAUUACUCCCUUCUCCCCACCUCACCUGACCCCUGACCUGUGCUUCAA
ensembl:lncRNA